rnacentral:rRNA from 1 species
UACGAAGGGAGCUAGCGUUGUUCGGAAUCACUGGGCGUAAAGCGCACGUAGGCGGAUGUGUCAGUCAGGGGUGAAAUCCCGGAGCUCAACUUCGGAACUGCCUUUGAUACAGCACGUCUUGAGUCCGAUAGAGGUGGGUGGAAUUCCUAGUGCAGAGGUGAAAUUCGUAGAUAUUAGGAAGAACACCGGUGGCGAAGGCGGCCCACUGGAUCGGUACUGACGCUGAGGUGCGAAAGCGUGGGGAGCAAACAGG